rnacentral:tRNA from 1 species
GGAAAUUUGCCGGAACGGUAACGGGCUUGGUUGCUAACCAAAGGCAGGGUAACACCUAAUAGGGUUCGACUCCCUAAGUUUCCGCCA